GACGUAGGGUGCAAGCGUUGUCCGGAAUUAUUGGGCGUAAAGAGCUCGUAGGCGGUUCGUCGCGGCGGCUGUGAAAUCCCGAGGCUCAACCUCGGGUCUGCAGUCGAUACGGGCGGACUGGAGUUCGGCAGGGGAGACUGGAAUUCCUGGUGUAGCGGUGAAAUGCGCAGAUAUCAGGAGGAACACCGGUGGCGAAGGCGGGUCUCUGGGCCGAUACUGACGCUGAGGAGCGAAAGCGUGGGGAGCGAACAGG
rnacentral:rRNA from 1 species